UCUGUUGUUCAUCUUUCUUCCACCGUUUGCUCUUCUGAGUUUCUCAUUUUGUAACGCUUCUUGAUGCUUUUCUUUCUUCCAUUGUUUUGCUCUUUGCCGUUUCUUAUUUGGCUAAGAAAUCAAAUGGAUAAAAGGAACAAUUUUCAAAAGAAAUUUCGUUACCUCUUCUUCCCCCUUACCCUAGCAGCGUCGCUGCUCACAUGGGAGAGAAUUGAACUCGAUGGUGGCUCUGCGGUCCAGGGCGGUAGCCUGUGCCUGAUCUGAGGCAAAAGCGAUUUAAAGAGGUUGCAGGGCGUGGCGAUAGGAACACGGAGGCUGGGAAGCUCUGAUCUUCAAUCCAGUCCACUUUGUUCGUGAUUUCAGUAGAAGCCCAUGUUGAUAAACUAGGUCUUAAGAUAGAUCUUCAUCAUAAGUCUUCCACGAGAACAACCUAGAAUUGACAGGAGUUAUUUGUACCUUCGAAACACACUGUGUACCAAAGAAAACAUGAAGCCAUGAAGGAACUCAGAGAGUUGACAGCAGAGCAUCAAUGGUGAAAGUGAUUGUUCCCAAUGUUCAAUUUAUUUUGUUAGGUUUGUGCCAUAUUUCUUUUUCAUUCGUGUUUUUUUUACACAAUCUCAGAUUUCGUUCUAGCUGUUUUUCCUUCUUCAACCUCAAUAUCUUCAAGAAGUAAACACACUUACAUCAAUUCUGACUGAAGGCUAUGGAUUCUAGCAUUAUGCAAAUACUGUUCUUAUUCUUUUUUAUUAUUGUGUGUCCAUGGUGACCACGUGAUUAGACUAUUCGAAAUGAUCAAAUGAACUUAAGUGGGGAUCCAUUUGAGGGGGAAUUGUAAUUUAUAAUGAUAAUAAUUGAAAUUGGAACCUAUCAAAUGUAGACAUGUAAGACUAUAUGCAUGCUCUAUUAACUCUUUGUGAUUGGCACUUGGUUAUGUCUAUUUUUGGUGUCCAAGGGGUUUCUCAGAAGACAUGCUCAUAGAAGAUGAAAUUUUAAGAGACAUAGUUCUCUGGUGUGGAUGUCAAAGAGGACCAGGCUUCUCUCCUUUCUCCCCUCUCACCUGGCUUCACACAGCAUCCCAUCACAACUCGAUUGAGACGCAAGCAGUGGUACUUACAUUGACUUGACUUAUGGCCUUCAAAGAGGCGCAAGAUCUUAUGGAUUUUAAUGUGAGACUUUCAAACUCUGAAAUUAUGGAUUCUAUUACUCAUAUUAGAACCUGUCGUUACUCUUUUACUAUGCCUUUGAUUCUCCAUUUAUGAACCUGCCAUUACUCCCUUAUUCAAAUUAGGACACUUUGAAAGAGUGAUAUAAUGUCUUUCAUUAGCCAUGGUUGCACCUAAUCUGCAGUUCUGGAACCACAGAGGGAAGGCCCAAAAUUGUGCCCUUAACAAGCCACGUGGCUCCGCCGCUGCUGUGUGCCUCGAUUGGGUUCAUCAUGGUGGGACAAAUAUGGAUUGCAGAGUUUGGGAAUUAGAAGAGCAUUUCGACGUAGAAAUGGUCCUCUUGAAUCAAUUGAUGGUAAUCAAAAUUUUUAUAGACUCUUAUCCAAAUAUCAUGUUGGCAAAUGCUAUAUCUUCCAAAAUCUCUUUCCUCCACCAUAACAAGGCAGAUGCUUAAUCGCUUAUAAUUGCUUCUGACUUUUUUUGGUGCAAAGAGAGUGAAGACAUCUUUCUUUGAGCACAAUAGAAUUUUGUAGUUCGAUUCAUAAGAUAACAUGUGAUCAUUUCGUUCUUUGUUUUGUCAUCCAUCACAUUUGCCUAGCAUCUGCCUCCUCUUCACUAGGUAAUCUCUCUCAGCCAAGCCUUUUGUUCAUUGCCUCUCAUAAUAUUUCUCAUUUCGGUGGGUCACUAAUCUGUUUUUUCGUCAUUUUUGUUUUUUAUUUACUUUUGGUUUUCAUGGUAGAAAAUUGUGGAGUUCCAUUGCUUGCAUGCUGCACACUCUGAAAUGGAGUUUGGGUGCUCAAAAUGCGAGGGAUAAACUUUGCUUCCCAUAGUACCAUUAAGAAAAUGUGAUUCUUUUGCAAGCAAUUUCUUAGUAGAAUAAUUAUGACUUAUGAGUAAUUCCUUCAUUUGUUUCUUCUUUUCUACGACCAUAGAAAUAAUCAAAGGUAUUUCUUGGAAAAGAACAACAAAUUGAAUUUCAUCUUACUCUGCUGCUAUUCUUCAUUAGACUCACCCCAUAAACUGAACAACAACCCACAUAAACUGAACAACAACCCACAUACAAACCAUGCAAAACUUAUAGAAACGGUAGUGUAUGCAAUAUGCUUAUUGAACCUGAUAACUUUCUAAAGCAUGACUUAGGACUUACCUUUGAAAGGUUUUUCUUUUAUUUUCUUCCAAUUUGUUUUUCUCACUUCUUUCUUCUCCAUGUUUGUGAUCAAAGGAGAGGGUAAUUUGAGAUUUUGUGCAUGCAUGGAAGUGUAAGAUUCGUUUAAUUGUUUGUUUUUAUGAACGAAUUAAAGGUCAUUGAAGAGUGAAGAGGAAGAGCCGUAUACAGGUUGUGCUUUUCUCAAGUAUUUUCCCUUAAUUUACUUUGGAUUUGUUUAUCUCUUUGAGUUAAAUUUCUUUAGUGGUCUAUCAAAUCGUUUAGAUCUUUUUGUUUGGUGUUCUCCGUUCUUUAUUUUCCAACCUUCUUGCUUGGACAUGUAUAUUUGAUAUGCAAAUAAUGUAUGGAAAUCUCUUACACAUGUAAUUUCAUGACAUGUUUUAUGUUUACAGUUUAAUGUCAACAGGCAUCUAAUCUUUUUUUGGUUGUUAUAUUUUCCAAAAUUAUAAUAAAUUUCUUUUUCUUUUGUUUGUCUGAUGGUGUUUAUUAGAAAUUGGGAGGCCUAUACUCAACCACAAAAGCUAGCUCAAGAGUUGAGGAUUGAACAGACUGGAACGUGGGAACAACAACGGGUGGCCCAAAUAUGGGAGGUCUCCACACAACAAAUGGAUCUAUGAUAGGCUCUGAUACCAUAUUAGAAAUUGGGAGGCCUAUAAAAAUAAGGCCAAUCAAGUGUUUAUAAGAGUUGUGCAAACCUCAACUCUUGAGCUAGCUUUUGUGGUUGAGUAUAGGCCCCCUAAUUUCUAAUAGUGUUUAAACUUUUUUUGACGGGCAAUAAUUAUUAUUAUUAAUGUCAAAGGUUUUAUUAAUAAUAGGGACUCUAAUAGCUUUUUCUUAAAUGUACAAAAUUGCAACAUCUUAAGAGAAUUUUAAGACCCCCUUGAAAUUCUAUUUGACGGGUUUUCAGACCUCCCAUCACCCAUCAUGCUACAUCCUUCUUCUACUUCUAUCUAAUUUAUUUUAACUGGGUUUAUUAUUAUUUAAUUCAUAUGACUUAAGGAAUUUUAUAUUACAUAGUUAAUAAUUUUUGCACAUAAUGUAAUUAAAAUGCAAAUAGAGUAGGUUUCAAGUGGAAUAAAGAUAAUUUUUUGAACUUGGAUAAAAGAGACAUUUAACUUACUAAAAUAAAGUGUCUCGAACAAAUGCGGUUAUAGAAUAUGUGAAUCACUUUUUUUUUUUUAAAGCACAACUUUAUUUCAUGAAAAUAAAAGAUAAGAGACCUAUCCUCUCAUAUAGGUGAACAACAAAACAUACACGACCCAAACCAUUCCAAAAUAAACCAAAAAAGGCAACCCUAGAAAAUCUAUACCUACUCCUAUCGAAGGAAGGUAAAAGAGUAAACCCACAUUGCAUCAUUGAUGUUUGAAAAACAUUAUUUGGAAGAGAAAUGUUGCAUCUGGAUGACCAUGUGAGAAAACUGUUGAGGGUCUUAUUGGGAGGAAAACUAAUUCAUGUCAUGCUUUUUCUUGAUACUUUUAAUUUUAAGUUCAACGUCCUUUGUUUUAAUAUUUUAUGGGUAACUGCAUAAAUGCAUUUCAAAGUUGGCGAUGGAGCAUUCUCUAGAGUCACGCAUCGCAAAUGAUUAAAAAACCUCAUUUGCGAUAAUGAUGGUAACAAUUCGCAUAGUACACUUCAAAUGUAGUUUAUGAAGAAGUCUUUCGCAAUGUCAUAUGAAGAAGACUUUUUUACAAGAAAUGUGGAAUGCUACGUUCUCAGUCUUAUUCUCAAUGUAAUUAUUCCAAUUGUCAAAAAAAGAAAAAUUAAUCCAGUGUCUAUUUUUAGCACAUACAUGUUACUUCACUCUCUAUAAUAUGUUUCAAAAAAAAACUCUCUGGAAUAAACGAUGGAUAUAAAAAAACCAUCAAUUGAACAUUUAGGAAAACAACGACAAAAGAUGAAAAAAAGAUAAGCGACUCAAAAAAAACAAAAACAAACAUUCAGUACUAGAAAAACUUACAAAUUUAUGAUUUAUUAUCAAAAAUAAAUUUUAUUCUUUUAAUAUGUAAAACAUCUUUUAAAAAAUAACACAUAUUUUAAAAAAAUCACACAAAACAAAAAUAAAUAUCCCCGUGCAUCGCACGGGUGAAAAGUACUAGUUAUAUAUAUACCAUUAGAAUCUUAACAUUCUUCAUCACUUGAAAGGGUUCUAUUUAAUCAUCAAAGCCCAAAUUUUGAAGUCAUUCUUUCACUUCAUCAA